rnacentral:rRNA from 1 species
CCUGCGGAGGGAUCAUUACCGAGUUUACAACUCCCAAACCCCUGUGAACAUACCUAUACGUUGCCUCGGCGGAUCAGCCCGCGCCCCGUAAAACGGGACGGCCCGCCCGAGGACCCUAAACUCUGUUUUUAGUGGAACUUCUGAGUAAAACAAACAAAUAAAUCAAAACUUUCAACAACGGAUCUCUUGGUUCUGGCAUCGAUGAAGAACGCAGCAAAAUGCGAUAAGUAAUGUGAAUUGCAGAAUUCAGUGAAUCAUCGAAUCUUUGAACGCACAUUGCGCCCGCCAGUAUUCUGGCGGGCAUGCCUGUUCGAGCGUCAUUUCAACCCUCAAGCUCAGCUUGGUGUUGGGACUCGCGGUAACCCGCGUUCCCCAAAUCGAUUGGCGGUCACGUCGAGCUUCCAUAGCGUAGUAAUCAUACACCUCGUUACUGGUAAUCGUCGCGGCCACGCCGUAAAACCCCAACUUCUGAAUGUUGACCUCGGAUCAGGUAGGAAUACCCGCUGAACUUAAGCAUAUC